UAAGUUCCCCCUUAACCUCUCUCCCCACAGACCUAACCCAACUCAAAUGUAGCAGUUAAGGGCUAUUUAAAGGGGGUACAGCCCCUUUAAAAAAGGACACAACCUCCAUCAGCGGAUAACUCCAUGCACCCAGCCCUGUGGGCCUUAAAGCAGCCACCCCCAAAGAUUGCGUCAAAGCUCCAUCAACUAAAAACCCCAAAAACCAAUGCGACUCCCUACACCCCUAGCAAGCCAACCUAUAACAAUAGAUGAAUCAAUGCUAGAACGAGUAACCAGGGCACUGUGCCCCCCCAAGCGCCAGCCUGCACACCAUUAACAGCAAAACCUCAAUAAAAACCACCCCCUCCUCCCACCAUUGAACACACCCUGUCAAUCCAACUCAGGGGCGCACACUGGAGUGAUCAAAGUCUACAAAAGGAACUCGGCAAACCCAAGACCCGACUGUUUACCAAAAACAUAGCCUUCAGCCAAACAAGUAUUGAAGGUGAUGCCUGCCCAGUGACAUCACGUUUAACGGCCGCGGUAUCCUAACCGUGCAAAGGUAGCGCAAUCAAUUGUCCCAUAAAUCGAGACCUGUAUGAAUGGCUAAACGAGGUCUUAACUGUCUCCUGUAGACAAUCGGUGAAACUGAUCUCUCUGUACAAAAGCAGAGAUAGACACAUAAGACGAGAAGACCCUGUGGAACUUCAAAAUCAAUAGCCAUCUCACUCAACCCAAAAACCCACUUCGGGUCCACCACCCAAGACACUGGC
rnacentral:rRNA from 1 species